UCUCCGUUGGUGAACCAGCGGAGGGAUCAUCACCGAGUUUACAACUCCCAAACCCCUGUGAACAUACCAUUUGUUGCCUCGGCGGUGCCUGCUUCGGCAGCCCGCCAGAGGACCCAAACCCUUGAUUUUAUACAGUAUCUUCUGAGUAAAUGAUUAAAUAAAUCAAAACUUUCAACAACGGAUCUCUUGGUUCUG
rnacentral:misc_RNA from 1 species